rnacentral:rRNA from 1 species
GACAGAGGGUGCAAACGUUGUUCGGAAUUACUGGGCGUAAAGCGUGUGUAGGCGGCCAUGUAAGUCGGAUGUGAAAGCCCCCGGGCUCAACCCGGGAAGUGCACUCGAUACUGCGUGGCUUGAGUAUCGGAGAGGUUGGUGGAAUUCUCGGUGUAGAGGUGAAAUUCGUAGAUAUCGAGAGGAACACCGGUGGCGAAGGCGGCCAACUGGACGAAUACUGACGCUGAGACACGAAAGCGUGGGGAGCAAACAGG